CCUAGGUCACAGCGCUCCUCACGCUCCCCAUCCAACGCGCGCGUUUAGAGCAACGGUGUAUCGAAGCGGAUUUAUAAACAAUUGAUUUUCAUGCCCCAAAUGCAUGUAUUUUAUUAAACGUAUAGAGCUAAACGUAGCAUCACCGACUGUGCAUGUGCGUUAGGGAUGGAAUACAGCGUUCACUUUGUGGAUCCUGUUGAUCUGUGUGCUAUAUUUUCCAGCGUGUGAAAUGCCUUGGAAGAGCUCGUGUUGAAUAGAAUAGUCACCAUAGGCUUCAAGAAACCUGGUUGCGUCAGUUGUAGUGGAUGGCAUUUGCGGAUACCCCAUGUGGAGACGUUUGCUCCUUUGAUGUAAUCUUAAUUUGAUGCACUUUCCGUUUUUCUUUGACGUCGACUGACACGCGCAUGAAAGCCCCGCUCUUAUUUUCUUAGUUUUUUUUUCAGUUCCUUUGACACAACCGAGAAGGUCGUGAUUUUUGCAUGCAACAUAGCGGGAUUCAUGUUGGAAGCGUUUUUCUUUAUCAAUGUGCAUUGAUGUAGCAGAAAACGUGGAGGAGAUAAGAACCCUUAUCUCAGCACCUGGUAGCUUUGGAAAGGAUUUCAUUGAAGAAAUUGUCUGCAAGCGAUUAAAAGGAUUUUCAUUCUUGUCUAAAUCGGGAAUUACACAUCCAAACUGGGAUCUAUGAGCGGAAAAGUGGCGAAGCCAAAAGAAGAUAAGGAUGCUUCCAAGGUCCAGGAUGACGCUGCUCCAGGUACCCAGGAGUACAUUAUGUUGCGGCAGGAUUCCGUCCAUUCAUCGGCGGAUUUAAGGAGUAAAGGGUCCCCCUUUCGUGCUAAGUGUCACGAAAUCUUCUGCUGCCCGCUGAAGCAAGUGGUCAACAAAGAGAGCUCAGAGC